CGGAACAUAGCUUAAUUUGGCAAAGCGUUCGGCUGAUAACCGGAAGAGUAAAGGUUCGAGUCCUUUUGUUCCGACCA
rnacentral:tRNA from 1 species